rnacentral:rRNA from 1 species
UACAGAGGUCUCAAGCGUUGUUCGGAUUCAUUGGGCGUAAAGGGUGCGUAGGUGGCGUCGUAAGUCAGGUGUGAAAUCUCGGGGCUUAACUCCGAAACUGCAUUUGAUACUGCCGUGCUUGAGGACUGGAGAGGAGACUGGAAUUUACGGUGUAGCGGUGAAAUGCGUAGAUAUCGUAAGGAAGACCAGUGGCGAAGGCGGGUCUCUGGACAGUUCCUGACGCUGAGGCACGAAGGCCAGGGGAGCAAACGGG